GUUGCAGCUAUGGAUAGAGCUCCCAACAGUUUGUCUAAAAGCAAGAGAAAAUAUAACUUACCUGAAGAUUUAAGAGGAUAAUCAUCACUUUUCUGAUCAUAAAAUGGCUCAUGGGAAUUUAUGCCUAUGUGGGACUCGCAAAACCUCGGCUCAUAUAUGUCAACUUCGUCAUCUUUUGCUAGACUAUUUAACCAGAGAUGUAAAUCCUCUUGAUAAAAUCUUGAUCACUAUUAUCGACUAGAUAUUAUCAUCUUAUCCUAAAGCAGAAUGCCUUGCCCGACAUAGUUGCAUGCGGCUAUGUCAUCAUCUUGGCCAUAAAUCAAGCUUUCCAUUAGCGGAGCCGCCACUGGAAUGCCUAUUUGCGGGACUCAGGAAAAUGGCACAUCAAGCUUUUUUAUUCAGCACCUUAAUGGUCUCCCGCGGCGAACAUCAAAGCUUUGUAUGGGUUCUUCUGCCCCAACUUCUAUGCCAGUUCCUUUUAUCCCCGUUUACCCAACCAAAUGGCUCAUAAUUUUCACAAUUAGCAGACGACAAGCUGGCUAGGAAUUUACAUUUGGCGUGAACAGUAGGAGCACCAGCACAAAAAAUUAAUUUAAAGCAAUUUGUGAGCCAAUAAAUCUCCAUGACGGGUUGCCUUGAAAAUGAGCAUUGACUACUCCUGCAGAAAGUAUUAUAUAUUGCUACAUGGGCGCCAAACAAAGAUUUAAAGAAACUAUAGAAAAAGUUCAAGCCAUAUAACAAAUUCCCUCCAUAUAUUUCAAAGUGUGAAAAAUUGCUUUAAGCCAAAUACUGCCAACCUGAACGUCCAACACUGGAGUAUUGAACCAUAUUUGACAUUGAUUGACUGUUAAAGCAGAUUGAUUGUUAAAGCAGUCCACUCGGAGUCAAAUAAGAUACAUUUUGUGUGUGCUUUCGGUCUGUGGUUGUGGAUUUUGGGCUUGGAGAGAAACGAGAUAGAUUUGAAACUACUGAACGACUGUUGAAAUAAUUGCAAGAAAAAAUAUAUGUGUUUGUGUAACAACUUAUGGCAUUUUAAAAUCCUGAUUAAAUUUAAAGGA